UAUACCUUCUCUGUUAUCCUUCCAUAAGAAAGCACAAAAGUUGAGAGGAAUUGCAUCUGUACUGUAUUUUCUUUCCUGAGCCUCUUCUCUCUCCUCCUCAGGCCAGACAUUUGUGGGCAAACUGCUGGCAAAGACUGCUGAGGGACACUUUGAGGUUAUCCAGAGGUAUGCCAAGUAAGAAACGGAAGAGAAUUUUACAAGGAGGAGGCAGCAGGCACCUGCCAAAAUGAUAAUUACUCCCAGUGAGGUCUAAAGCACUGGAUGAUGGGGUGCUGUGAACUUAUCAUUAAAUGCAGCUGUGACCUCACUGAAUGUUUCCCUUUGUGUCUCACAAGAAAAGGGGACAGUCACAGCCUGCUUUCUAAAGACAACUCUCUUCCUUCACACAAAACUACAAGCAUCUAAUUACACACACACCCUUCACUCAAUUAUCAUGGAGACUCCUACACCAGCCUCAUAGAGUCACCAUCGGGGGAGGGGACAACAAAUGUCCCCAGGCUGUAUGUACCAGAUGAGGCCGUGUCAAUGCUCACCUUUGAGAAUGUCAUAUUUGAGGCGCCAGACGUGAGACAGCAACUCAUAGCCAAGGUUGCUGUCGUCUCCGCUAGCUGACUAUUAAAGAUGCAGAAUCCUUGCUGAACCAUCACUGGAACCAUGAAAACACCCCUGAAAACACCAUAACAACUGAAAGUAUUCGAGGUAAGAGAGAGCAAAACAUUUGGGAGUGCAGUUUAUUAUCUGUCUCCCAUACAAGACUGGUGGUGUAUCCCUCACAUCUGGUCAUCAAGGAGUACCCCAUGGUCAAGUCCUUGCACACCGAUCUGUUCUGAUGGAAGCAGUUGGAGGGUGUGGAGGAUGUGUUGGAGGAUGGAGUGCUGAGUAUGUUGCUGCAGUCAGUAGACAUGCUGGCUGCUGGCUGACGGAGUGUACUGUGGCCCCGUUGAUUUCACUCUCAGCAAUGACUCCAAGAAGACCAUAGCAGAGUACCAGGUGUGUAUUGUGAAGAGGUGAAUUGAAUGGCUGUAUUUUUCAUUCUUUCUUCUGUGGUAAAAGAAUGUCAAAAGCAAGCUCGUUCAUCGCUUUCUUGUCUUCCUGUAGUCAUUUUCAUUGCUUUUAUAUUCUUUCCACUAAUUCUUCUCUCUUCCUCUACUUCCUACAGUCACUUUCAUUUAAGUUUUCUAUUCAUUUCACUAAUUCUUUUCACUCUCUAUUUCUUAUAGCCACUUCCAUUACUCUUUCUUAUUCUCCUCUCUCCUUCCAUGUCUCACAGCCAUUUUCAUCGUCCUUUUCUAGUUCACUAAUUCUUCUCACUUCCUCUGCUUCAAGAUAACUGGACCACAGGAGCAUGUUGUCACAGCUCUAGGGAAACUGUGCACAUCCCUCAGCAGUAACAUAGCUAUCCCAGUAGUGACAGGAUAUUUGGACACUCACUACAAUGCAAGGAAAGUUUACGUCAAGGACCAGAUCUUGUGCUGCUCUUGGAGAAACAUUGUGCAUCUCUUGAACGAGAGUGAGACUGGGGACCCUCUUCUAGAUAAUCGGAAUGGUUCUGAAGUUAGCCUUGUGUCUUCUGUCCCUAAGGAUCCUCCAGUCCUUGCAUCUCCCCUUUGGCACCAUAUCUUGUGCUGCUCUCAGAAAAACGUGCUUCUCUGGAAUGAAACUGAGAGUGAAGAUAGUGUUUCAGGUGCUGGGAAUAGUACUGAACUUAGUCUCAUUUCUGGUGUCCCUGUGCAUCUCUCAGUCCUUAUAUUAAUGUGAUGUCUUGCUAACUCUCAUGCUGUCUCACUCAGUUUGGUACAAUUGUUUACUGCAAAUUUAGAGUUUAGUUUUCAAUGUAAGGUCACUGAUAGUAAAAGGAGUGGUUAAAUGCUUCUCUUUCUCAUCUUGUCUUCCUUUUCCUUGUCUUCUUCCUCAUUUACUUGCAUUUCUCUCAUUCUCUACCUCCUGGUCUUUUCCUUCAUCCUUCUCUCUCUCUCUCUCUCUCUCUCUCUCUCUCUCUCUCUCUCUCUCUCUCUCUCUCUCUCUCUCUCUCUCUCUCUCUCUCUCUCUCUCCAAUUCUCCUUACAGGCUUGUUGGUGUAUCCUGAAAAUUUGGAGAUCCAGGAGAACUCUGUCACCAAGAAUGUGCAAAUGAAUGUCAUUGGGUGGCUGAUGGCAGCUCCUCAAGUGAACCCAGAGGUGAGGGAGGCUGUCACUGGAGGGAGCGGGGAAGUAGGGGGUUAGAGUGAAGAUGUUUAGAAAAGAGGGAUGCAGCACUGUGGUUGUGAAGAGUAGCCAUCAUUUUCAUUUUAAGGGUGUUUUUAAGCUAUUUAGCUUGCAGUGCCACUGAGACUAUCCCUUUCCACUGGGGACUCAAAAUAAUAAUAAAGACUGACUUCAUAUUCUGAGUGUUAAUGGAAGUAAGAAUAAUAAUCAGAAAUAGCAACCAUUAUCACUAUCCUGUUUCUUCAUGUCAAGCUUGAUAAAGUUAGAUUUAAAAAAGAAAUAGGAAGGAACUGGUUCUCAGAUUGAGUGAUAGAUGAAUGAAAUAGACUCAGUAGUUCGGUUAGUGCUGAGUCAUUAGGGAGCUUUAAAAGAUUAGGCAAAUUUAUGCAUGAGGAUGAUAGUGAAAAUAGGUAAGCACAUUUCAUGCAGGGAUUGCCAUGUGUAAACCAGAUGGCUUCUUGCAGUUUCCCUUGUGUUCUUACAAUUAUUAUGCCACUGAUAUGAUGCCACAACACAAUGGUAAUGGUGGUGAUGGUGUGUUCCCGAGUGAUGCAGGUGAUAAUGGGGCUUGACAUGAGUGUCAAGGGCAUGUAGUGUCCCGUCACCUUUGCUCCUGUGACCUCUGGCUCUUCUAAAAAGGGAGUUGCAUCCUUCAUGGUAUUUUUAUGUCUGAUGGUGUGUAGUGGUAAGGAUUAUCCAAGAUUGGAGAAGUGUCUUGGGACCUUCCUCAUGAAAAAAUUUGUCAUAGGGAAAAGAAAAUACAGAAGCAGGCAGGGAGUUCCAGAGUUUACUGGUGAAAAGGAUGAAAAAUUAAUAAUGGUGAACUCUUGUAUUGGAGAGGUGGACCACCACCAUCACCACUACUUAUUCUCCACGGAUCACUGGGCUAAAGUACAGCAAGAUGGGUGCCUUGAGUUGAAGGCUGCAGUCACCAUCAGAAAAGAGCAAAGCUGCAACAAGUCAUCCAAGUACUAUGUCAAGAAGGUUUAUGUUGAAGGCAACCUCCUGCACUGCUCUCAGGAGAACAGUGGGACUCAUGACCGCCUCCAAGACCCACAGAGGAUUGGAAGGCAUAAAUUCAAUCUUGGAUAACUAUUGACAUUUAAAACUGGUGACUCCACUUGUCAGAUUGUAGGUGGGAAAGUUUUAGGGUUGAUUGAUGGGAACAUUGUUGAUCUAAAUUCUUUUUUGGUAAAGUACUGUAAAUCACUUGCAUGUGAAGUUUCAAAUGGAUGAAAUAGCAUGAAUGGUAUUGUAGUUGAAUUGUUCUUUGUAGCUGGAAAAAAAAAUUAGGGUCGAUUGAUGGGAAAACUAUUGUUCAAAAUCCUUUUAUUGUAAACUAGAUCAUGUACAUAGUUGUGAAAUUUUUUUGGAAAUGAAAUAGCAUGAAUGAUGAUGAUGUUGUUUGUGUUGUACUAUGGGUAAACCAUUGGAAAAAAUGUAGUAGUUAUGAACAAAAUUGGAUUAACUAAACAUCACUGAGGUUGUAGUUGUGAAAUUUUGGUGUAAAUUAAUGUAAACAAUGAAAUACUUAAUCAUUAAAGUUUUAAUCUUAUAUUAGGAGUCAUUGGAAAUUAGCUAAAAUAAACACCCUUAUAUCAUCUUAA